rnacentral:rRNA from 1 species
GGGGAAUAUUGCACAAUGGGCGAAAGCCUGAUGCAGCAACGCCGCGUGAGUGAAGAAGGUUUUCGGAUUGUAAAGCUCUGUCAUCUGGGACGAUAAUGACGGUACCAGAUGAGGAAGCCACGGCUAACUACGUGCCAGCAGCCGCGGUAAUACGUAGGUGGCAAGCGUUGUCCGGAAUUACUGGGCGUAAAGGAUGCGUAGGCGGAUAUUUAAGUGAGAUGUGAAAAUCCCGGGCUUAACUUGGGAACUGCAUUUCAAACUGGGUAUCUAGAGUGCAGGAGAGGAAAGCGGAAUUCCUAGUGUAGCGGUGAAAUGCGUAGAGAUCGGGAGGAACACCAGUGGCGAAGGCGGCCUACUGGGCUUUAACUGACGCUGAAGCACGAAAGCAUGGGUAGCAAAC